rnacentral:rRNA from 1 species
UACAGAGGUCUCAAGCGUUGUUCGGAUUCAUUGGGCGUAAAGGGUGCGUAGGCGGCGCGGUAAGUCGGGUGUGAAAUCUUGGAGCUUAACUCCGAAACUGCAUUCGAUACUGCCGUGCUUGAGGACUGGAGAGGAGACUGGAAUUUACGGUGUAGCGGUGAAAUGCGUAGAUAUCAUGAGGAAGACCAGUGGCGAAGGCGGGUCUCUGGACAGUUCCUGACACUGAGGCAUGAAGGCCAGGGGAGCAAACGGG